rnacentral:rRNA from 1 species
CCUACGGGAGGCAGCAGUGAGGAAUAUUGGUCAAUGGGAGAGAUCCUGAACCAGCCAAGCCGCGUGAGGGAAGACUGCCCUAUGGGUUGUAAACCUCUUUUGUCGGAGAACAAAACCCGGGACGUGUCCCGGACUGCGUGUAUCCGAAGAAAAAGCAUCGGCUAACUCCGUGCCAGCAGCCGCGGUAAUACGGAGGAUGCGAGCGUUAUCCGGAUUUAUUGGGUUUAAAGGGGGCGUAGGCGGUCCGUUAAGUCAGCGGUAAAAUAGGCGGGCUCAACCCCGACUGGCCGUUGAAAAUGGCAGACUUGAGUAGGCGAGAAGUAGGCGGAAUGCGCGGUGUAGCGGUGAAAUGCAUAGAUAUCGCGAAGAACUCCGAUUGCGAAGGCAGCAUACCGGUGCAUAACUGACGCUCAUGCACGAAAGCGUGGGUAUCGAACAGGAUUAGAUACCCCGGUAGUC